rnacentral:rRNA from 1 species
CUACAGGGGUUUCUAAUCCUGUUUGCUCCCCACGCUUUCGCACCUCAGCGUCAGAAAUGUGCCAGUUGGCCGCCUUCGCCACUGGUGUUCUUCCGAAUAUCUACGAAUUUCACCUCUACACUCGGAAUUCCGCCAACCUCUCACAUCCUCGAGCUUUGCAGUCAUGAAGGCAGUUCCCGGGUUGAGCCCGGGGAUUUCACCCCCAUCUUACAAGGCCGCCUACGUGCGCUUUACGCCCAGUAAUUCCGAACAACGCUAGCCCCUUUCGUAUUACCGCGGCUGCUGGCAC